rnacentral:tRNA from 1 species
GAGGGUAUAGCUCAGUGGUAGAGUGAAUGCCCAGCAUGCAUGAGGUCCUGAGUUCAAUCCCUAGCACCUCCA